rnacentral:rRNA from 1 species
UACGUAGGGUGCAAGCGUUGUCCGGAAUUAUUGGGCGUAAAGAGCUCGUAGGCGGUCUGUCGCGUCGGCUGUGAAAACUCGGGGCUCAACCCCGAGCCUGCAGUCGAUACGGGCAGACUUGAGUGCUGUAGGGGAGACUGGAAUUCCUGGUGUAGCGGUGAAAUGCGCAGAUAUCAGGAGGAACACCGGUGGCGAAGGCGGGUCUCUGGGCAGUAACUGACGCUGAGGAGCGAAAGCGUGGGGAG